rnacentral:rRNA from 1 species
AUUGAACGCUGGCGGCAGGCCUAACACAUGCAAGUCGAACGAGUGGCGGACGGGUGAGUAAUGUCUGGGAAACUGCCUGAUGGAGGGGGAUAACUACUGGAAACGGUAGCUAAUACCGCAUACCCUCAGAUGUGCCCAGAUGGGAUUAGCUGGUUGGUGGAGUAACGGCUCACCAAGGCGACGAUCCCUAGCUGGUUUGAGCGGAUGACCAGAGAGACUGGAACUGAGACACGGUCCAAACUCCUACGGGAGGCAGCAGAGGGGAAUAUUGCACAAUGGGCGCAAGCCUAAUGCAGCCAUGCCGAAUGGAUGAAGAAGGCCUUCGGGUUGUAAAGUACUUUCAGCGGGGAGGCGUUACCCGCAGAAGAAGCACCGGCUAACUCCGUGCCAGCAGCCGCGGUAAUUC